GAUGAACGCUGGCGGCGUGCCUAACACAUGCAAGUCGAGCGAUUCUCUUCGGAGAAGAGCGGCGGACGGGUGAGUAACGCGUGGGUAACCUGCCUCAUACACAUGGAUAACAUACCGAAAGGUAUGCUAACACAGGAUAAUAUAAGAGAUUCACAUGGAUUUCUUAUCAAAGCUCCGGCGGUAUGAGAUGGACCCGCGUCUGAUUAGCUAGUUGGUAAGGUAACGGCUUACCAAGGCGACGAUCAGUAGCCGACCUGAGAGGGUGAUCGGCCACAUUGGAACUGAGACACGGUCCAAACUCCUACGGGAGGCAGCAGUGGGGAAUAUUGCACAAUGGGCGAAAGCCUGAUGCAGCAACGCCGCGUGAGUGAUGAAGGCCUUCGGGUCGUAAAACUCUGUCCUCAAGGAAGAUAAUGACGGUACUUGAGGAGGAAGCCCCGGCUAACUACGUGCCAGCCGCCGCUGUAA
rnacentral:rRNA from 1 species